UACGAAGGGGGGCUAGCGUUGCUCGGAAUCACUGGGCGUAAAGGGUGCGUAGGCGGGUCUUUAAGUCAGGGGUGAAAUCCUGGAGCUCAACUCCAGAACUGCCUUUGAUACUGAAGAUCUUGAGUUCGGGAGAGGUGAGUGGAACUGCGAGUGUAGAGGUGAAAUUCGUAGAUAUUCACAAGAACACCAGUGGCGAAGGCGGCUCACUGGCCCGAUACUGACGCUGAGGCACGAAAGCGUGGG
rnacentral:rRNA from 1 species